UACGUAGGUGGCAAGCGUUGUCCGGAAUUAUUGGGCGUAAAGCGCGCGCAGGUGGUUUCUUAAGUCUGAUGUGAAAGCCCACGGCUCAACCGUGGAGGGUCAUUGGAAACUGGGGGACUUGAGUACAGAAGAGAAGAGUGGAAUUCCACGUGUAGCGGUGAAAUGCGUAGAGAUGUGGAGGAACACCAGUGGCGAAGGCGACUCUUGGUCUGUAACUGACGCUGAGGCGCGAAAGCGCGGGGAGCAAACAGG
rnacentral:rRNA from 1 species